rnacentral:lncRNA from 1 species
CCAAGUGAGGGUAGCUGACAGGUUUCAAAUGCACCAUUCGAGUGAGUGGAUGAUGCCAGUGCUACCUGACUGUUAAGUGGCAUAAAAAGUACCAGCAUGGUCGAUGCCAGUACUGCCCGACGUGUAAAUACAAGUAUACAUACAAACAUACAUAUCUAUAUACAACCCAACAUACAUACAUGCAUACACGCAAGCAUAUAUACAUAAUAGCACACACACAUGCAAACAUAUUCACACACAUAUAUGUAGAUUUAUAUAUAUAUAUAUAUAUAUAUAUAUAUAUAUAUAUAUAUAUAAAUAUGUAUGUACAAAUUCUUCCAAGUAUACAAGUACUUAUAGACAGGCAUACAUAUAAUUUUAUAUUCACACAUACAUAUUAACAUAUAUGUGUGUGUAUGUGAGUGUGUGUGUGUGUUUGUGUGUUUGUGUGUGUGUGUGUGUGUGUGUGUGUGUGUGUGUGUGUGUGUGUGUGUGUGCGCAUGUGUGUGUGGUUCAAAAUUGUACUGAAAACAAAAAGCUAAAAAACAGAGGCAGGUGAAGGACCAACAAACAAGGUGCAUUAUUUUUUUACUUUGACACUCAGGAAAAAUGAACAAAUUCUUUGAUGUUUCGAGCCUAUGCUCUUCUCCAGAAAAGAAUGAGGAAAGAAAGAAAUGGAGAGGGAAAAAAAGCCAUGUCUAGAUUAAUGACGUCAUAUGUUGAAGAAAAUACAGAGUGUUUACUUUUUAUAACUAUGCUACACCAAGGACACACCCCAAUGGGUUAAGUUGGUUUGGUACUUACUUAUCUUCAGUAUCCCACCAACACUUGAUACAUUUCGGUGUGAGCUCUAUGUCAUCAUACCUAGCCAUUUUUGGCAUCCAACAAGUGAAUAUGCCUUGAUUCUUAUAAGGCAUAUAACAACACACAGGCAUGGACACACACACACACACAUAUCUUCUAAGUUAGUUUAAGGAAGACAUUUUUGAAUAUGCAUAUGAAAGCUGCUAUUUUACUAUGCUGGCUUCAGCCCAAUGCUGCAAAAGGGUGAUACCAGCUUUUUGGGUCAUACCAAGCUGUGUUAAUAUAGUGUAGGAUAAAUAUAGUAAUAAUAAUAAUAAUAAUAAUAGUAAUAAUAAUAAUAAUAAUAAUAAUGAUAAUAAUAAUUAAUUCUGGCUUAUUGGCUGCAAGGGCUAACAUAAAUAAAAAAACAUGUAAGGACAAACACUGGACGAAAAGUAUAAAGGGUUUUGCGAAAAAGAAAGGUCCAUGUAAACAUUCAAAUAACAAUGAAAAAUAUAACAAAUAAAACUCCCAAUAGGGGGAGACGCUUUGAAAGGUUACUUGCUGAAAAACCCAUCAAAGCCAUGGGAGUCUGGUCUAAUAAUAAUAAUAAUAACCCAUGGAUGGAAAUGGAAUUUAUAAAUAUUUUAAUGCAUCACUACGCAUGUUUCCAUAAAUCACAUGUUUCUUACAAUCAUAGUUUGCAUUCCUGGAUUGACUGGACGCAGUUGAUUAUGCAGGAGAUGAUUAUUAUUAUCAUUAUUACUAUAUAGAUAGAUAGAUAGAUAGAUAGAGAGAGAGAGAGAGAGAGAGAGAGAGAGAGAAAUAUAAUAGAUAUAUAUAUACAUACAUACAUUAUUCACACAUAGCAUAUAUAUACAUAUAUUAAUUCACAUAUUCAUACCUUUUUACUGUGUGAAUAUGUAUGUUUAUGUUUGUAAAUAUGUGAAAAUAAUUAAAAAUUUGAUUGAUAAAAUGUUUAAAAUUCAUUAAUUAGCUUAUAUGAGAACCAGGCCAUGUAAUUCUGUAAAAACCAUACCACAAAGCUUUUCUUCUUUGGAGAUAAUUGUAUUUGUUUUUGCUGCUGCUCAUGAUGAUGAUAAUGUUGACGAUGUGAUGGUGAUGAUGAUGAUGAUGACAAUGAUGUGGUGGUGGUGGUAUUAAGAAAGAGGAUGUGAGGGAGGAGGAAGAAGACAAGGGCGAGGAGAAAGACAAUGGUGGGGGGAUGAUGAUGAUGAUGAUGAUGAUGGUAAUGAUGAUGAUGGUGGUGAUGAGGAGGAGGAGGAGGGGAAGGAAGAGGAAGAUACUAAUGAUGAUGGGAUUCACUCUACUUGUUAUUGUUGUUGUUGCUUUUGUAGGUCCUCUUGUUGAGAUUACGAUGGCUAUUGUUGUUUUUUUCAUUGUUGUAGUUGUUCUUGUUGUUGUUGUUGUUGAGAUGGUGUGGAGUUCUUGUAUAUAUUUCUUGGAGAGAAUCUAUUUAUAGCAAAGCUUUAGAAUAGACAUAACAACUCAAAAGAUAAAUAUUCUACCCCCACCCCCACCCCACCCUCUCAACCUCCAAAACCCCAAACCCCAACUCUCAAACUCCCCCAACCCUCACCACCAUCAUAUCUGCCAUCAGCACCAUCCUGAUAAAUUGCUCCAGAACAAAUACAAAAGUAGAAACAAAAAUAAAAAAAGAAAUUAAAAAGAAAACAGAAGAAAUACAAAUAUAAACAAAAUAUAAAGAAAAACAAUAACAACCAAAGGCAACAACUUAAUUUUAUUUAUUUAUUUAUUUAUUUAUUUACUUUUUUCCAAUUGAGAUCUUUGAUGUGCGAAGGAAUUUAUUUAUGUUAUAAAUCUCAUUUUGAAAAAUCUUUUCUUAUUAUAGAAAAAAUAUAUUAUGUAUAUUGUUUUUUAAAAUUUUUCGUUUUUUGAUACUCUUAUAGUUUUCUUUUAAUUUUUGUUUUUUGUCUUUGUUUUUGCUCUUUGUUUUUUAAUGUAGGUUUGAUAAUUUUGCAAAUUCAGAUAUUUUUGUAAACUGUUUUGUAUAAGUAAAUAUAUAUCUACAUACAACAACACAUGCAUGUAUAUGUAUAUAUGUAUGUAUUUAUGUAUGUAUGUAUGUAUGUAUGUAUGUAUGUAUGUAUGCAAGUAUGUAUGUAUGUAUGUAUGUAUGUAUGUACGCAUGUAUGUAUGUGUGUGCAUGUAUGUGUGUGUAUGUGUGUGCAUGUAUGUAUGUGUAUGUAUGUGUGUAUGUAAGUGUGUGUAUGUGUGUGCAUGUAUGUGUAUGCAUGUAUGUAUGUGUGUAUGUAUGUAUGUGUGUAUGUAUGUAUGAAAGUAUGUAUCUGUGUGCAUGUAUGUAUAUGUGUGUGUAUGUAUGUGUGUUUGUAUGCUUAUAUGUAUGUCUCUAUCUAUCUAUGUAUCUAUCUACGUAUGUUUGUAUGUAUGUAUGCAUGUAUGUAUAUUGUACUUCCCUUUUUCCUUUGAUUUUUAUCAUAAUUUGUUAUCUUUGCACAUGUUCAGUUUAUUUUAAACACUAAAAUCCUUAAUAGUUAAUAUUAGAGCAGAUUUAGAGCUCAUGAAUUAGAAAUUGGUAACAUUUAGUAUUUCAAGUGAUAUACUUCCCUAUAUUAAAUCUAAAUCUAUCUCUUAUAUAAUGAUGGGAGGGUUAGUCUUCCUGUCUACUUCAGCACAUUCAACUCAUGUUUAUUUUAACUCUACUAACCCUAGGAUAAGAUAAAGUAUGUGAUGAUAGAUAAAAGAUUUAGUAUGUACAGUAAUGCCUUGAUAUUCGAGUUAAUUUAUUCCUGGAGACCACUUGUAAAACAAAAACUUGUAUAGCAGAGCAAUAAUUUCCCAUAGUAGCAAUGUUAUAAAUCGUAAUUCAUUCCUAGAAAAAUAUUUUACCUAUAAAAUUUAUAAUACUUGUAAAUAAAUGGCAAUAAAACAACACUAGAAUGUGAAGAAUACUUUAUGGAAAGUAAAAGGAAUGUCAAGAUCAUUUAUAAUAAAAAAUUUUAUUAUUAGCGCUUUCUAAAUCACUUGUAGAUGCCAUCGCCGAUUCACAAGCACCCAUAGACGGACUUGUAGAUUUCUUUUUAGAAAACAAGUCUAGAGUUGUUCACUUAGAAGAAGCUUUUUUUGCUCUCUAUAAACUUCUCUGUAACACACAGAAGCAUUUGUUAUGGUAGUAGAAACUUUUGCACUUCAUUCAAAAUUUGAAUCUUGUAUUUGAAAAAUAAAACUCAUAGGCCCAGGAUCUCAUAAAGCAGGUCCUCAAAAAAGUGAGAUAUUACUGCAAAAGCCAAGUGAGACCAUAACCUGUGGCCUAUGCCAGUGGUGUAACCAGCCCACUAAACUCUGCUUGUGAAGACCUGUUGAGGCAGGUGAAAUCGAAAUCAAAUUCUAUGACAGCACCGCAUGACUGGGCAUCUGUGCUAGUAGAACACUAAGAGCACCAUCUGAGCAGGAUCAUUGCCAGGGCCGCUGACUGGCCACUGUGCCAGUGGCAUGUAAAAAGCACCAUUCGAGUGUGAUCAUUACCAGCAACACCUUACUGGCACUUUUGCCAGUGGUACUUGAAAAACAACAUUCAAGCAAGGGCGUUGCCAGUGCCGCUGGACUGGCUCCUGUGCAGGUGACACAUAAAAUCACCAUUUGUGCAUGGUCAUUGUCAGUACCACCUGACUGGCCCUUGUGCCAAUGGCACAUAAAAGCACCCACUACACUCUCAGAGUGGUUGGGGUUAGGAAGGGCAUCCAGCUGUAGAAACUCUGCCAGAUCAGAUUGGAGCCUGGUGCAAGCAUCUGGUUCACUAGUCCCCAGUCAAACCGUACAACCCAUGCUAGCAUGGAGCGUGGAUAUUAAACAAUGAUGAUGAUGAUGAUGAUGAUGAAGCUGGUAGAAUUGCUAGCACACCAGGCAAAAUACUUAGCUGCAUUUCAUUCAUGUUUCCAUUCUGAGUUCAAACUCUGCUGAGGUCGACUUUGCCUUUCAUUCUCUUGAGGUUGAUGAAAUAAGUAUCAACUUACCCCUUUGCUGGACUUGUUGGUUUUGUGCCAAAAUUUAAAACAAAUAUUGUAUUAACUUUGAAGGCAACAAGCUGGCAGAAUCAGUAUGCCAGGCAAAAUGUUUAGCAGCAUUUCAUCUGUCUUUACAUUCUGAGUUCAAAUUCUACUGAGGUCAGCUUUGCUUUUCAUCCUUCUGGAGUCAAUAAAAUAAGUGGUGGUGGUGAUGAUGAUGAACCUGGAGGCUCAAGUUUGCAAGCUUGUGAAACACUUAGUAUUUAUCCUUUUAUUAUCACAUUUCUAUUAAAUUAACUUUUUUCUGUUAAUUGUCAUUUAUCAAGCUAGUUUAGAAUAUAAAUUAAUAUGAAAUUGUGGUGGGGGUGCAUGGCUUAGUUGUUAGUGUGUGGGGCUCAUGAUUGUAAGAUUGUGGUUUUGAUUCCUAGACUGGGAGAUGCAUUGUUUUACGAAGCAAAACAUUUCAUUUCAUAUUACUUUAAUCCACUCAACUAGCAAAAACGAGUAUUAUGAUUAAUUCACAACAGGCCUGGCAAGCUGGUGAUGGAUGAGAAAUCUGCCUAAAAAACAAACAAAAGGAACUUCUGUGAUGAUGUACCAUAAGCUUAACUUGAUGUUGGGUAUUAUCUACAAAGUUUUGAUGGGAGAUUUUAAUUUAGAUCACUUCAAAUGACAAAAUUUGUAUCAUACAAUGAGGAGCAGUAUCAGACAGAUUAGUGUAAAAUGCUAAGACAAUUUCUAACAUUCUUCUAGCAAGGAUCUAUAUAUGUGCUACCUAUGUCCAACCUGGUUGACUGGGCUGGCAAGAGUUAAGUAUCAUUGAUCAUAGCUAUUAUUGUUUAUCUUUGGUCAGUCAUGAUCCAGCAGAGUUAGGAUAAAGGGGUUAACUAUAUUUCAGUUAAAAUUCCCUAAGGCGGCGAGUUGGCAGAAACAUUAGCACGCCGGGCGAAAUGCUUAGCAGUAUUUCAUCUGCCGCUACAUUCUGAGUUCAAAUUCUGCCGAGGUAGACUUUGCCUUUCAUCCUUUCUGGGUCGAUUAAAUAAGUACCAGUUACACACUGGGGUCGAUAUAAUCAACUUAAUCCGUUUGUCUGUCCUUGUUUGUCCCCUCUGUGUUUAGCCCCUUGUGGGUAGUAAAGAAAUAUAUAUUUCAGUUAAAAUUCCCUUUGUUUCAAUUCAUUUUUGAAAAUAAUGAAAAACUUAGUAAGAUAACUUCAACAUUAUUAAUCUAGAAUUUGCAAAUAUAAAUUAACUCAGGAUUUUGAGAGAAGGUUUUAAUUUUUAUCUCUUUAUGAGGUGGUUAUAGCUGCUCUUUCUAAUAACUGAGCAACCACAUGCUGAAUCUCAGAUUAGCUUAAGCUGUAAAUGUGACUGACAAUAGUUGUAAUAUAAAUUAAUAAAAUAUAUUCAAUAUUAACAAUAUAAUGAUGACAUUAACAACAUGUAAUUAUGACAUUAACAAUAUAUAAUGAUGGCAUUAACAAGAUAUAUUAUGAUAUUAACAAUACAUAAUGACGACAUUAACAAUAUAAUUGUGAUAUUAACAAUGUAUGUUAUGACAUUAACAAUAUAAUUAUGAUAUUAACAAUAUAUACUAUGAUAUUAACAAUAUAAUUAGAGUGACAGCUAGCAGAAUUGUGACUGUGCUGAGUAAAAUGCUUAGCAGUAUUUCGUCUGUCUUUAUGUUCUGAGUUCAAAUUCUGUGGAGGUUAAUUUUGCUUUUCAUCCUUUUGGGGUUGAUAAAAUAAUGACCAGUUGAUCAUUGGGGGGGGGGCAAUGUAAUCAACUUACCUCCCUCUCUGAAACUGUUGAUCUUGUACCGAAAGUUGAAAUUGAUAUGAACAAUGUAAUUAUGUGUAUAGAUUAUUUGCCAACAUAAUGUGGCAGUCCUGAUUAGGACAAAUGUUACUAUUAUUUAACCCCAAGAAACAUCAUCAUCUCCAGUUAGCUAUUGAUGCGCUAUCUGUGUCCUUAUAGUUUCAAACAAGGGAGCUUAGUGUCCCCACUCAGCCCAAAGCAAUACCUGUAUACCAAUGGUUUUUGAGUUAUUUUUCUUCAUCAGUUCAGAAUAAUUGCUCAGCUAGAGAUGGCAACAUUAAAUUCUUGUUCAAAAUAUAUACUUUUCAAAGUGACACACAGUCACUGAAAUCAUAAAUAGAAAAAUUAUUAUUCUAAAUCUCUGAAUGAGAAACAUUCAGUAACAGUACUCCAGAGUAAAUAUUGUUUGCCAACAUAAUGUGGUAGUCCCGAUUAGGAUGAAUGUUUCUGUUAUUUAGCUCCAGAAAGCAUCAUCUCCAGCUGGCUAUUGAAGCAUUAUCUGCAUCCUUACAUUUUUGAACAAGGAAGCUUAUUGUCACCACGCAGCCCAAAGCAAUAUCUGUGUACUAAUGUUUUCUGGGUUAUCUCUCUUCAUCAGCUCAGAAUAACUGCUCAGCUAGAGAUGGUGACACUAAUAUAAUUAUGACUUAAGAAUACAAUUAUGAAUGACAAAAAUAACUAAACCUAUAAGAUUUCAAAAUUCAGCCUUCAAUUAAAAACAAAACAAAAAUGUUUACAGUUUAGCAAUGGUGGCCAUACUGCAGCUCACAAGCCUCUUAUGGCUCUUAAAGGUAUAUGAGGUCCCUGAGAUAAUGUUGAGUUUCAUUGGUAGCAUUAACAUCCUACUUGCUGGAAUUUAAAUAUAUUAACUGCAGUAGUUAAUAUGCAGAAAAAUCCUUUAAUUAGCAAUGAUUGAUCAAUCUGUUUUAGUCUGUAAUAUCAUGUAGCAGUGUAUUUUAUUUACAAAUAUAUUUUUUUUAAAUUAAAAAUAUCAUAUGUGAUUUUUCAUAUCAAACUAUUUGGUCACCAUUGCAAUAGUGUACACCUUCCCCUCAACUUACAACCUAUAUGACUUACGACUAUCUACACUCACAACCACUAGAAAUUUAAAAAAUUAAAAGGCGGUGAGCUGGCAGAAACAUUAGCAUGCCGGGUGAAAUGCUUAGUGGUAUUUCGUCUGCCACUGUGUUCUAAGUUCAAAUUCUGCCGAGGUCGACUUUGCCUUUCAUCCUUUCAGGGUCAAUUAAAUAAGUACCAGUUACACACUGGGGGUCAAUAUAAUCGACUUAAUCCAUUUGUCUGUUCUUGUUUGUCCCUUCUGUGUGUAGCCCCUUGUGGGCAGUAAAGAAAUAAGAGAUAAGAAAUUUAAAAAAUUAAGAAAUAAAUAAAUAAAAAGUCAACUUUCUAAUGUUGGGCAGUUACAGUCUUAAGUCAGGGAGGUGUACUUGCAAAUCAAGCCAUGCUUUGGCCAGAUUUAUUGAUGCUUUAAAAAGAUCCUGACAAUUUUCAGUUCAUCCAGAAAUGUUUGGUUCACAUGGAGACAUGGAAAUGUAUCAAAGAAAUUUUUCUUUUGUUUUGUUUUUUCUUUUCCUUUUGGAAGUUUUGAUAAACAUCACAUAACACAUGAUUGUCUCCUUCAAAAGGUGUCCUUCUAAUGCCAAAAUUUCAGUUACCCAGGUGGAAAUUGUAGUUAAGAUACCCAUGCCAGUGGCACAUAAAAAUCACCAUCUGAACAUGGCCAAUGCCAGUGCCGCCUUGACUGGCAUCUGUGCUGGUGACAUGUAAAAAGCAGCAACCGAUUGUGGCCGAUUGCCAGCCUCAUCUGGCCCCUGUGCUGAUGGCACGUAAAAAGCACCCACUACACUCACGGAGUGGUUGGCGUUAGGAAGAGUAUCCAGCUGUAGAAACACUGCCAGAUCAGACUGGAGCCUGGGGUAGCCUCCUGGCUUCCCAGACCCCAGUCAAACCAUCAAACCAAUGCUAGUAUGGAAAACGGACGUUAAAUGAUGAUGAUGAUGAUGAUAUAUCUACCAAAUCCACUCACAAGUCUUCCUUUUGCCUAGGGCUGUAGUGAAAAAAACACUUAGCCAAUGUGGCAUACGAUGGGAAUGAAUCCAAAAUCACUUGCAAAGUGAAAUUCUUAAGCACACACCUAAUUUUAUUUAUCAACUAUGCUAUAUAAUGUGGCCUUCCUCUUUUUAUUAGAGUAUGACUUGAGGGAGAUUUGGCUGAUAUUUCUAGCUGAAAUCAAGUAACCAUAGUCGUAUCUUCUCACAAGGUUCCUUCUGUUGGUGCUAAUUUUUCUUCUUUUUCUUUCUUAUUCUGUUGUAGUAUUUUGAUGUUAUUGUAAAUUUUUAUUCUCCAAUGUUGCUCUUUGUUGUUGUUUCUAUUUCUCUUGUUGUUGUUGUUGUUGUUGUUAUUGUUGCUGUAAAUUUUAAUUUUUGUUGCCCUUUAUUUUUGUCAAUUAUCUUGUAAGUUACUUACGUCUUUUAUUUGCUGGCUACCAUAGUUAUUACUGAUAUUAUCAUCAUCAUCAUUAAUACUACUGUUGUUAUUGUUGUUGUUGUUGCUGUUGUAGUUAUUUUUAUUAUCAUCAUCAUCACCAUCAUCAUCAUCAUCUUCAUCAUUAUUAUUGUUAUAUCAUCAUUCUUCUUCUCAUUCUUAUACUUAUUCUCCUCCUCCUCCUCAUUAUUAUUAUUGUUGUUGUUGUUGUUGUUGUUAUCAUUAUCGUUAUUGUUAUUGUUGUUGUUAGAUUGUUAUAUUUAGUUUGUUUUACUUUUUCUUGUUUUUUUUUGUAUUUUAGUGGCAGAAAGCGAAGAAUGUUGGCAACUUAAUUAUUGUUGUAGUCAAAAUUUGUUGUUGUUGUUGUUGUUGUUGUUCAUAUUCUUAUUGUUAUUCUUGUAACUGUUGUUCUUGCCAUUCAAUUAAUUUGCUACGUAAAAAUCAAGAUUAAAAAGUCAUGUGUUUGUGUGUAUAUCCUUGUGUUUCUGUGAAUGUGUGUGCAUGUGUGAGUAUAUGUGCAUGUGUGAGUGUGUGUGUGCAUAUGUAUAUGUAUGUGUGUGCAUGUGGCCAUAAGCAUAAAGAGGGUUGAGAAAGAGCAUAUGUGUCACAAAUGUAUGAGUAUACAUUCAUUUGUAGUAUACUUGCAUGAACUCUUAAACUUUUACAUACCAAUUAAUAAAAUGCAUGCCGAUAAAUACAAUUUUGUAUGUUUUAUAUAUAUGCAUAUAGAUAGAUAGAUAGAUACACAUAUAUGUAUAGAUACACACACACACAUAUACUUAUAUGUGUAUAUAUUUAUAUAUAUAUAUAUAUAUAUAUAUAUAUAUAUAUAUAUAUGUAUAUAUAUAUAUGUAUAUAUAUAUAUAUAUGUAUAUAUAUAUAUACACAUAUAAACAUAUAUAUACACAUAUAUAAACAAUAAUAUAUACACAUACAUAUAUAAGUGUGUGUGUGCAUAUGCAUACAUACAUACACCCACCCAUACAGGCAUAUACAUGUAUUUGCAUAUAUAUAUAUAUAUAUAUAUAUAUUUAUAUACACACAUAUAUAUAUAUUUGCAUACAUAUAUACGUAUAUACAUAUACAUCCUAGUACUUCUAUUGUCUCCUUUUCCAAAUUGCUAAGCUACGUAGAUGAAAACCAGAUCUAAUACCAGAUGCAAAGCAGUGGUAGGGAACAAAUACAGAUACAAGCACAUACACGCACUCACACAUAUAUAUGUGCAUAUAUAUAUAUAUAUAUAUAUAUAUGAUGGGCUUCUUUCAGUUUCUCUCUACCAAAUCCACUCACAAAGCUUUGGUCAGCCUGAGGCUAUAGCAAAAGACAUUCGCCCAAAGUGUCAUACAGCAGGACUGAACCUAGAACCAUGUCAUUGAGAAAGCUAUUUCUGUGCUCUUUGUUGGGUUAGGAGACCACAUCUCAAUCACUAGUUCCAUUUUUCACUUGGUUUCAUUGACUGGAUUCCAUUCCUAGUGCCAAUCACUAACAGAGUGUAUAGACUGCAUUUUUUCAUGGCACUAACAUAGAAAAGCUGCCAUGUUCCCAAGGAGCUUAGACGUUUCCCUUAAUGUCAUCAGAGUCCUAAAGUGAUUGCAGUAUAGAAGAUACAUGUUGGCCAUUCAAAAUUCCAUGAAGACACACAUACAUACAUACAUACAUACAUACAUACAUACAUACAUACAUACAUACAUACAUACAUACAUGCAUGCAUGCAUGCAUGCAUACAUACAUACAUACAUACAUACAUACAUACAUACAUACAUACAUACAUACAUACAUACAUACAUACAUAUGUGUACACACAUGCAGGGAUGUUAUGCCUACAUAAUAACUAUUAGUUGCAGGUAGUUUAUCAAAUGAGUAGGUAGAUUAAGGUACAGAUGGUCAACACAAUUGGUAUCAGGUUAGAUAAUGACAUUUAUAUCCUUAAACAGCUCUUUCAAAGCCAAAUGUGCAGAUAGUACAACUUGUGGAAAACAAGCAGUAGCUAUCCAUAUAUCAGCGAUCUAUUCCAUCAUCAGGGGGAGAAUGAUUUAUAACUGAUCUAGUCCAUUGUUAUGUAUAUAUAUAUAACUGCACAGAAACACACCAGGGGCAUAUACUCCAGGUGUGCUAGGUGUGUGCUGCACACCCAUCUAAAAAUAACAAAUUCAUUACAAAUAUUAACUUUACUCAUUAAUUUAAUCACAAAAAUCUUAAUGGAAAACUCUUGUUAUACUUCUGCUCGAAAUUUGGUGGCACUGAGUGUGACAAAACACCCAAUACAACAACCACCAUACGCCACUGAAAUACACAUGUGUAUAAUCAUACAAUCAAACAAAAUACUUUUUGAACUAUCAAAUACAAUCCACAAGGUAUUGAGUAACACAAGGCUACAGUGGAAGAAACUUGCUCAAGGUGCCAUGCAAUGUGAUUGAAACUGCAACUACAUUGUUGCAAAGUGGACUUCUUAAUCACACAAGCAAAACUGCUUUCAUAUAUACUUUUUGCAUUAAACUUUGUUUUGCUGUUCUCAUAUUCCUUGUUUUAUGUAAUUAUUUAUAUAUUUCUUAUUAACCACUGUUUAUUUUAUCAUCAUAUUAAUUUCUUUUUGCAGUGCUUUACCAGUGAAACAGACUAUAAAAUUUCUUUUGAGCAAGAACUUUACAACUGAGGACACUAACAAAAACAGAAUGCUACAAAUCUUGUGUCUGAAAGUUAAGUCAAAGAAGAUCAUGAGGUAUCAAUGGAUAUGGAAACAUUCUUGUUCCAAACAAAAUAGUAUGGACUAAUAAAAGAUGUAGGAAUAAUCCAGAAUAAACAGUUAAAAUAAAGUGGAAUGCAAUUCUGUUUUUGAUAAUAAAUAUUUAAAAGAAAAGUUGUGAGCUCACAAUGAACAAAAUAAAAACACACACUCACACACACACAUGUGCGUUUGUGCGUGUGUGUGUGUGUGCAUGCACAAUGUGUGUGUGUAUAUGUGUGCAUGUACAUGCAAGAGUGAUUGAACUUACAUGCUACAAACUUACACACCUCUUGGUUUGAAUUCACCACCUCUAUUCAUCUAACUUACAAUUUCUCUCCACCUGCUCCAGCACAAUAUACAUCAUCCCACCUGCUUCUCCUUUCUCCCAUGCUGUGUCUAUGCUCACACUCAUAUCUUCCCCACAUCUCACCCUACAUCGCUGCUACACCCUUGCAGAUGCCCUUAACACACCAUUGUACAGAUAUACACUUACCUACACAUACAUAUAGUCACACAUUGGCACACAGAUACACACACUCACACCAACUUAUUUUUUACAUACACACAUAAUCCAAGUGUGUGUGUGUAUGUGUAUGUGUGUGUAUGUGUGUGUGUGUGUGUAUGUGUGUGUGUGUGUUUAUGGUUCAAGCUGCAGUCAUGUGCUCUUGGAUUCAGUCUUACUGCAUUGCACCUUAGGCCAAUAAUUUCUACUGGGGAGUAGAUUUGGUAGACAAAAACUGAAAAAUUGCAUAUUAUAAACAUGUGUGUGUGUGUGUGUGUGUGUUUGUGUAUGCAUGCUUGUUUACAUUUGCAUUUCUUUGAAAAUCACUAAGUUACAAGCUGUGGCAUUCUUGUCACUCACUCUGUCAAUGUAUAAAAUAAAAGCAUCCUUACUUUUAUAAAGGAAAAAUUCCUGUUAAACACAGGAAGGGCAUCUGACUAUAAAACAAUGCUUUAAUAAUAUACUCAUCUAACCCAUGCUAGCAAGGAAAAAUGCACAUAAAACGAACGCAAAAUACACACUCACACACAAAACACAUAAACAUAUACAUAUACAUAUGCACUCACAUAUACAUUGGAAGAUAUACAUAAAUUGCUAAUUCAAUUUAUUAUCAAUAAAUUUUUUCUCACAAGUUUUUUUAUCAAAUAUUCCUCUCUGAAUUGCAUUUCUUCUAUGUGUCUGCAUGCCUGUGUUUGUUUGUUUGUUUGUUUGU